rnacentral:rRNA from 1 species
AGAUGCAGUCAUACCAGCACUAAUGCACCGGAUCCCAUUAGAACUAUGAAGUUAAGUGCGCUUGGGCAAGAUUAGUACUAGGAUGGAUGACCUCCAAGGAAGUCCUUGUGUCGCACCCC